rnacentral:rRNA from 1 species
AUUGAACGCUGGCGGCAGGCCUAACACAUGCAAGUCGAGCGGAUGAGUGGAGCUUGCUCCAUGAUUCAGCGGCGGACGGGUGAGUAAUGCCUAGGAAUCUGCCUGGUAGUGGGGGACAACGUUUCGAAAGGAACGCUAAUACCGCAUACGUCCUACGGGAGAAAGUGGGGGAUCUUCGGACCUCACGCUAUCAGAUGAGCCUAGGUCGGAUUAGCUAGUUGGUGAGGUAAAGGCUCACCAAGGCGACGAUCCGUAACUGGUCUGAGAGGAUGAUCAGUCACACUGGAACUGAGACACGGUCCUGACUCCUACGGGAGGCAGCAGUGGGGAAUAUUGGACAAUGGGCGGAAGCCUGAUCCAGCCAUGCCGCGUGUGUGAAGAAGGUCUUCGGAUUGUAAAGCACUUUAAGUUGGGAGGAAGGGCAGUAAGUUAAUACCUUGCUGUUUUGACGUUACCAACAGAAUAAGCACCGGCUAACUUCGUGCCAGCAGCCGCCGUAAAAC